AGGUAUGAUAUGGUGACGUGAGUGAAACGAGUACACAACAUCCAGUCCGUGAAUCCUAUCCAGUUUUAUAUUUUAUACAAUUGUCGCGGUGAACAAUUUUUAAGAAGGUAAAAUUGAUCAAAGAUUAAAAAAAUAUAUUGGGUUUAUAUAUUAAACGUGCAGAUAUUUUCUCAAGUAGAAAAGCUAAAAGUUACUCUUUUCACAAACAACCAUUCAAACACAAAUUACACCAAUUCAUUGAGGAACAAACACGGAUAAAUGUGAUGCGUCAUCGAAAAUUGCAAUCAGCUUUUUUUUUAGGCAAUUUCAAUUCGGAGGAGUAGAGACAAUCGUAUAGGGACAGGAUUUCAAAGCGUA